AGCAAUUACUUUUUAGUGUAGAAAUGAUGGCAUCAGGUCUUUUAAAAAGUGGUAAAAAAUUGUUUUGCUACUUUGUAAUCGUGUUUUUUAAGUGCUGUUCAUGUUUUAUUUAUUGUAGGAGGCAUUGGAGGCCUGAGAUCAGAUCAGGAAGUCAGGGUGGCUUUUACUGAUGGCGGAUCAUGAGAAUGAGAUUAGCACAGCUUCUUGACAAGAGAUUCUUAAGAGUUGAUCCUCUUGAAUGAAAGUUUUAAAUUUUUAUAAAAAAGAUUUUAUUUGUGAUGAAUGCCAUUACUUUGAUAAGAUUGUUUUUGUUUAUUUGCAUGGAUUUUUGUAAAUUACACUGUAUAAUAAAUGCACCUAACCUACUUUGAAGAGCUACACUUGAUACCAAUUUAUAAAGGUAAUUUGGAAAUUUUUGUUAAUUUUUUG